GGCGAUGCACUUGUCAAGCACAAAAAAGAUCCCAAUUAUAAUUCAAACAAGCUGGACAGUUGGAUGAAUGCUUUGAGGACAGUAGGCAACCUCUCAGGCUGUGUUUCAAGGAAUAUUAAGCCGGACGCUAAAUUAAUCGAGCAAAUUAUGAAUCACACCUUAAAAAAACUAAAUGAUCGUGUGAUUCCAAGUGAUUCUUAUGAUGAUGGCUUGGUGGGUAUUAACAAACGCGUCAAGGAUGUUGAAGAAUUAUUAUGCCUUGAGUUAGUAGAUGUGCAGUGUAUUGGAAUUUGGGGAAUGGGAGGGAUAGGAAAAACAACUAUUGCUAGC
rnacentral:misc_RNA from 1 species